GUGGGGAAUCUUGCACAAUGGGCGAAAGCCUGAUGCAGCCAUGCCGCGUGAAUGAUGAAGGCCUUAGGGUUGUAAAAUUCUUUCGUCAGGGAUGAUAAUGACCGUACCUGAAGAAGAAGCCCCGGCUAACUUCGUGCCAACAGCCGCGGUAAUACGAAGGGGGCUAGCGUUGUUCGGAAUUACUGGGCGUAAAGCGCACGUAGGCGGACUUUUAAGUCAGGUGUGAAAUCCCGGGGCUCAACCUCGGAACUGCAUUUGAAACUGGAAGUCUUGAGAUCAGGAGAGGUUAGCGGAAUACCGAGUGUAGAGGUGAAAUUCGUAGAUAUUCGGUGGAACACCAGUGGCGAAGGCGGCUAACUGGACUGAUACUGACGCUGAGGUGCGAAAGUGUGGGGAGCAAACAGGAUUAGAUACCCCGGUAGUCC
rnacentral:rRNA from 1 species